rnacentral:rRNA from 1 species
UACGAAGGGGGCUAGCGUUGCUCGGAAUCACUGGGCGUAAAGGGUGCGUAGGCGGGUUUUUAAGUCAGAGGUGAAAUCCUGGAGCUCAACUCCAGAACUGCCUUUGAUACUGAGAAUCUUGAGCAUGGGAGAGGUGAGUGGAACUGCGAGUGUAGAGGUGAAAUUCGUAGAUAUUCGCAAGAACACCAGUGGCGAAGGCGGCUCACUGGCCCAUAACUGACGCUGAGGCACGAAAGCGUGGGGAGCAAACAGG